rnacentral:rRNA from 1 species
ACAGAGUGCUAGCGUUGUUCGAGUUACUGGCGUUAAGAGUCUGUAGGUGGUUUGUCAAGUCUUUGGUGAAAGGCCGUGCUUAACCAUGGKAAUGCCAAAGAGACUGGCNGACUNGAGGCUGGGAGAGGGAAGCGGAAUUUCUGGUGUAGCGGUGAAAUGCGUAGAUAUCAGAAGGAAGGCCKGUGGCGAAGGCGGCUUCCUKGAACAGGCCUKACACUGAGAGACGAAAGCGUGGGGAGCAAACAGGAUUAGAUACCCUNGUAGUCCACGCCCUAAACGAUGGGUACUAAGUGUGGGAGGGUDAAACCUCCNDUGCCGCAGCDAACGCAGUAAGUACCNNGCCUAGGGAGUACGGCCGCAAGGU